rnacentral:siRNA from 1 species
CGAGUUUACUGUAACAUUUGAUG